CAGCUACAGAGAGUCCAGACAGCAACUCCCACCCUGCAGAGACAGCCUACAGCUCAGGGAAGUAAGGGAUGGGGGGAAAGGCUGCAAGGAGACAUGGGGACACUGAGACACUAAGGGACACUGGGAGACAUUAUGGCAGACACUGAGACACUAAGGGACAUUGGGAGACAUUAUGGGAGACACUAAGGGACACUGGGAGACAUUAUGGCAGACACUGAGACACUAAGGGACACUGGGAGACAUUAUGACAGACACUGAGACACUAAGGGACACUGGGAGACAUUAUGGCAGACACUGAGACACUAAGGGACACUGGGAGACAUUAUGGCAGACACUGAGACACUAAGGGACAUUGGGAGACAUUAUGGCAGACACUGAGACACUAAGGGACAUUGGGAGACAUUAUGGCAGACACUGAGACACUAAGGGACACUGGGAGACAAUAUGGCAGACACUGAGACAUUAAGGGACAUUGGGAGACAUUAUGGCAGACACUGAGACACUAAGGGACACUUGGAGACAUUAUGGCAGACAUUGAGACACUAAGGGACACUGGGAGACAAUAUGGCAGACACUGAGACAUUAAGGGACAUUGGGAGACAUUAUGGCAGACAUUGAGACACUAAGGGACACUGGGAGACAAUAUGGCAGACACUGAGACACUAAGGGGCACUGGGAGACAUUAUGGCAGACACUGAGACACUAAGGGACACUGGGAGACAAUAUGGCAGACACUGAGACACUAAGG